rnacentral:rRNA from 1 species
UAGGGAAUCUUCGGCAAUGGGGGCAACCCUGACCGAGCAACGCCGCGUGAGUGAAGAAGGUUUUCGGAUCGUAAAGCUCUGUUGUAAGUCAAGAACGAGUGUAAGAGUGGAAAGUUCACACUGUGACGGUAGCUUACCAGAAAGGGACGGCUAACUACGUGCCAGCAGCCGCGGUAAUACGUAGGUCCCGAGCGUUGUCCGGAUUUAUUGGGCGUAAAGCGAGCGCAGGCGGUUUGAUGAGUCUGAAGUUAAAGGCUGUGGCUCAACCAUAGUUCGCUUUGGAAACUGUCAAACUUGAGUGCAGAAGGGGAGAGUGGAAUUCCAUGUGUAGCGGUGAGAUGCGUAGAUAUAUGGAGGAACACCGGUGGCGAAAGCGGCUCUCUGGUCUGUAACUGACGCUGAGGCUCGAACGCGUGGGGAGCGAACAGGAUUAGAUACCCUGGUAGUCCACGCCGUNNCGAUGAGUGCUAGGUGUUGGAUCCUUUCCGGGAUUCAGUGCCGCAGCUAACGCAUUAANCACUCCGCCUGGGGAGUACGACCGCAAGGUU